rnacentral:ncRNA from 1 species
AAACCAUGGUAGCAUAUGUUUUAUAUUCUUGAGAAACGUGUCCAUUUCCGUUUGAAAUGGGCACAUUUUAAAUUCGUAAACAAGCAUCUGUGAUAGGUUAAGUCUAGUAUCAGUAGCAACAGCAGUAAUUCCAGCUCUCAAAGUAAAUGUUGUCAUUGAUGCGGUUAAAAAGCUCACAGUCGGGUCUAAAUUUCAGGAUCUGAUACUAUCCAAUAGAUAAGAGUUGAAC